rnacentral:lncRNA from 1 species
CAGCCUUCUGGGUCCGAGGCUCCCACCUGCUCUAAGCGCUUGGACACCCUUUAAAAAAAUGUAUUUAAAGAGGCUGGUUCCUAUCCAUCCGACUGGAGGCAUCUCAGUGCAAGAGCAAAGCUAAGUCCUGCACACGCUCCUCCCCUCCUCCUCCUCCUUCUCCCCCCAGGUUUUCCCGAAUGUAUCUACUCCGGUUACAACUAGACGCGGCCCCUCCCCCACCUGCCUCCCCCCUUCCUUCCCUCGAUCGUGGAGGGAGCGUUCUCUGUGCCUUCCCAAGUCCCCGUGGGGGACCUUCUAUGUUGGAGUGGGGGGAGGGGGGGAGGGUCAUAUAACGAAGGCCAGAAAGAACAAAUUAGAUAAUCAAAAGAAUUAUAGUAAUUGCUUUCACUUUCCCCCGCCCGCUCAGCGGAUUCCCUCCCCCGCCCCUCCCCUGGUUUUUCUGUCUGUCGGGAAUACUCGGUCUUUCCGACCCCCUCCCCUCCCCCAGGUUCCUCCUCUCCUCUCCCCUUGCUCGCGCGUUCCCUCUCUUCCUCCGUUUUCUGGUGUGCUGGAACGUUCAGCGGAAUAUGAUGAAUGAUCACCUGUCACAGCUUGUUUAUUAUAAUGCAGGCAAUCAAUUACACAUCCCCAAUGCUGGCCGGCCCGCAGGAAAUUUAUAUGCUCAGCACAAACCAAUGUGAAAAUGGAAUCUCAUUUGCCAAAUGUCUUUCUCCCCGUACAGCACGAUGAUUACAGUCUGUGUUUGUUUCAACAGUCGUGUACAACUGACAGUGCCAUCAUUUACUGCCUGGCUCAGGUCACGUUACUCUAAGGCUUUAUUUAUGGUGUUACGAAGGGCAGCACAGGAAAAGGACAAGGGUGUCUGUCAGGGAUGGCACUGUGUUAAAAAGUGGGCGUGCAAGGGCCGCAUUCCCGGGCAGCCGCUGCAACCUCAGCCCCUGGGCCCUUACCUCCGCAGCCUCUCCCAGCAUCCAGCUACCCAGACUCCAAGGCCCCAGGCGAGAGCCAGCUCUCGGUACCUGGAGCUCCACAGGUCCCAGAAUCGGGGUGGAUCAGAGUUCAAAUUCUGGUUCUGCUACUGUCUAAUUGCGUGCUGCAGGGACUCAAUCUCUUCAUCUGGGAAAUGGGAGUAAUAACCCUUGGCAGGAAUGUUGCGAUCCUCUGGGAUGUCAGAGGUGUUGAUGAAUGUUAGUUCCCGGGACUUCGGAAAGAGGUCCCGUUGGAAGAGAUGUGAAUUGGAAUUCACACCCUAUAUUAAAAUCUCCUCCAAUCUUCACCUCUGAGACAUGGCUGUCUCAAGACUGUUUUGUUUCCCUUCCUGGUGGAAUUUUGCACUUUUAUGUCCUGUGUAGCAGCAGGUAGUGUGGCUUUGAGAAAAUAAAAUGGCCACCUUGCUCCGCUGUUCUUUCUUUGUAAAAAAAAAAAAAAAAAAAAAAAAACGGCAUAGCAAUCUUGGCCUUUCUAGCUGUGUGACCCCAGGCCGGUCAAUCCCUCCUCCUCUCCAAGCCUCGGAUUCCUCCCCUGAGAAGUAAAGAAAAUAACUCCUAAACUGCCUCCCGAGGCUUGCUGGCAGGAUCCAAGGUGUCCAGAGAUGUU